UGGGGCGUCGCCAAGCUGGUAAGGCAACGGGUUUUGGUCCCGUCAUUCCGUGGGUUCGAAUCCUCCCGCCCCAG
rnacentral:tRNA from 1 species